rnacentral:rRNA from 1 species
AUUGAACGCUGGCGGCAGGCCUAACACAUGCAAGUCGAGCGGAUGAUGGGAGCUUGCUCCCGGAUUCAGCGGCGGACGGGUGAGUAAUGCCUAGGAAUCUGCCUGGUAGUGGGGGACAACGUCUCGAAAGGGACGCUAAUACCGCAUACGUCCUACGGGAGAAAGCAGGGGACCUUCGGGCCUUGCGCUAUCAGAUGAGCCUAGGUCGGAUUAGCUAGUUGGUGAGGUAAUGGCUCACCAAGGCGACGAUCCGUAACUGGUCUGAGAGGAUGAUCAGUCACACUGGAACUGAGAGACGGCCCAGACUCCUACGGGAGGCAGCAGUGGGGAAUAUUGGACAAUGGGCGAAAGCCUGAUCCAGCCAUGCCGCGUGUGUGAAGAAGGUCUUCGGAUUGUAAAGCACUUUAAGUUGGGAGGAAGGGUUGUACGUUAAUACCGUGCAAUUUUGACGUUACCGACAGAAUAAGCACCGGCUAACUCCGUGCCAGCAGCCGCCGUAAAAC